UCUGUCGUGAGUGGCACACGUAGG
rnacentral:piRNA from 1 species